GAUGAACGCUGACAGAAUGCUUAACACAUGCAGGUCUACUUGAACUUCGGUUUGGGUGGCGGACGGGUGAGUAACGCGUAAAGAACUUGCCUCACAGUUAGGGACAACAUUUGGAAACGAAUGCUAAUACCUGAUAUUAUGAUUUUAGGGCAUCCUAGGAUUAUGAAAGCUAUAUGUGCUGUGAGAGAGCUUUGCGUCCCAUUAGCUAGUUGGAGAGGUAACGGCUCACCAAGGCGAUGAUGGGUAGCCGGCCUGGGAGGGUGAACGGCCACAAGGGGACUGAGACACGGCCCUUACUCCUACGGGAGGCAGCAGUGGGGAAUAUUGGACAAUGGACCAAAAGUCUGAUCCAGCAAUUCUGUGUGCACGAUGACGUUUUUCGGAAUGUAAAGUGCUUUCAGUUGGGAAGAAAAAAAUGACGGUACCAACAGAAGAAGUGACGGCUAAAUACGUG
rnacentral:rRNA from 1 species